rnacentral:rRNA from 1 species
UACGUAGGCAGCGAGCGUUGUUCGGAGUUACUGGGCGUAAAGGGCUCGUAGGUGGCCAACUCAGUCAGACGUGAAAUCCCUCGGCUUAACCGGGGAACUGCGUCUGAUACUGGAUGGCUUGAGUUUGGGAGAGGGACGCGGAAUUCCAGGUGUAGCGGUGAAAUGCGUAGAUAUCUGGAGGAACACCGGUGGCGAAGGCGGCGUCCUGGACCAACACUGACACUGAGGAGCGAAAGCCAGGGGAGCAAACGGG